GAGGCAGCAGUGGGGAAUUUUGGACAAUGGGGGAAACCCUGAUCCAGCAAUGCCGCGUGUGCGAAGAAGGCCUUCGGGUUGUAAAGCACUUUUGUCAGGGAAGAAAUCCUUUGGGCUAAUACCUUAGGGGGAUGACGGUACCUGAAGAAUAAGCACCGGCUAACUACGUGCCAGCAGCCGCGGUAAUACGUAGGGUGCAAGCGUUAAUCGGAAUUACUGGGCGUAAAGCAUGCGCAGGCGGUUGUGUAAGACAGGUGUGAAAUCCCCGGGCUUAACCUGGGAAUUGCAUUUGUGACUGCACGACUAGAGUGUGUCAGAGGGGGGUGGAAUUCCACGUGUAGCAGUGAAAUGCGUAGAUAUGUGGAGGAACACCAAUGGCGAAGGCAGCCCCCUGGGAUAACACUGACGCUCAUGCACGAAAGCGUGGGGAGCAAACAGGAUUAGAUACCCUGGUAGUCCACGCCCUAAACGAUGUCAACUAGUUGUUGGGGAUUUACUUCCUUGGUAACGUAGCUAACGCGUGAAGUUGACCGCCUGGGGAGUACGGCCGCAAGGUUAAAACUCAAAGGAAUUGACGGGGACCCGCACAAGCGGUGGAUGAUGUGGAUUAAUUCGAUGCAACGCGAAAAACCUUACCUACCCUUGACAUGGCAGGAACUUUCCAGAGAUGGAUUGGUGCUCGAAAGAGAACCUGCACACAGGUGCUGCAUGGCUGUCGUCAGCUCGUGUCGUGAGAUGUUGGGUUAAGUCCCGCAACGAGCGCAACCCUUGUCAUUAGUUGCUACGAAAGGGCACUCUAAUGAGACUGCCGGUGACAAACCGGAGGAAGGUGGGGAUGACGUCAAGUCCUCAUGGCCCUUAUGGGUAGGGCUUCACACGUCAUACAAUGGUCGGUACAGAGGGUUGCCAAGCCGCGAGGUGGAGCCAAUCCCAGAAAACCGAUCGUAGUCCGGAUCGCAGUCUGCAACUCGACUGCGUGAAGUCGGAAUCGCUAGUAAUCGCGGAUCAGAAUGCCGCGGUGAAUACGUUCCCGGGCCUUGUACACACCGCC
rnacentral:rRNA from 1 species